rnacentral:rRNA from 1 species
GAAAUACCACCCUUUAAUGUUUGAUGUUCUAACGUGGAUCCGUAAUCCGGGUUGCGGACAGUGUCUGGUGGGUAGUUUGACUGGGGCGGUCUCCUCCUAAAGAGUAACGGAGGAGCACGAAGGUUGGCUAAUCCUGGUCGGACAUCAGGAGGUUAGUGCAAUGGCAUAAGCCAGCUUGACUGCGAGCGUGACGGCGCGAGCAGGUGCGAAAGCAGGUCAUAGUGAUCCGGUGGUUCUGAAUGGAAGGGCCAUCGCUCAACGGAUAAAAGGUACUCCGGGGAUAACAGGCUGAUACCGCCCAAGAGUUCAUAUCGACGGCGGUGUUUGGCACCUCGAUGUCGGCUCAUCACAUCCUGGGGCUGAAGUAGGUCCCAAGGGUAUGGCUGUUCGCCAUUUAAAGUGGUACGCGAGCUGGGUUUAGAACGUCGUGAGACAGUUCGGUCCCUAUCUGCCGUGGGCGCUGGAGAACUGAGGGGGGCUGCUCCUAGUACGAGAGGACCGGAGUGGACGCAUCACUGGUGUUCGGGUUGUCAUGCCAAUGGCACUGCCCGGUAGCUAAAUGCGGAAGAGAUAAGUGCUGAAAGCAUCUAAGCACGAAACUUGCCCCGAG